UCUUGACUAGUAUAUCGGUUUAGUACAGCCGCUUGUCAUUUCCGAGCAAGACAAUCGUAAUGUAUUCGCGGCAGAGCUGGGUUCGACUCCCAGGUCGAGAG